UGCGCACCGCGCGAAAGCUCUUCGAUGGUCGCGUCUUCGCAUGACAGCGGGCGCGGCUCAAAGAAACGCCGCCCGGUCUCUGCCGGGCGGCGGCAUGGAG
rnacentral:sRNA from 1 species